AUUGAACGCUGGCGGCAGGCCUAACACGUGCAAGUCGAGCGGUAGAGAGGUGCUUGCACCUCUUGAGAGCGGCGGACGGGUGAGUAAUGCCUAGGAAUCUGCCUGGUAGUGGGGGAUAACGUCCGGAAACGGACGCUAAUACCGCAUACGUCCUACGGGAGAAAGCAGGGGACCUUCGGGCCUUGCGCUAUCAGAUGAGCCUAGGUCGGAUUAGCUAGUUGGUGAGGUAAUGGCUCACCAAGGCGACGAUCCGUAACUGGUCUGAGAGGAUGAUCAGUCACACUGGAACUGAGACACGGUCCAGGCUCCUACGGGAGGCAGCAGUGGGGAAUAUUGGACAAUGGGCGAAAGCCUGAUCCAGCCAUGCCGCGUGUGUGAAGAAGGUCUUCGGAUUGUAAAGCACUUUAAGUUGGGAGGAAGGGUACUUACCUAAUACGUGAGUAUUUUGACGUUACCGACAGAAUAAGCACCGGCUAACUCUGUGCCAGCCGCCGCCGUAAAAC
rnacentral:rRNA from 1 species